AGAAUCCAAAUUUAGGAUGUUGGAAAGGAGGAAGGUUGGGGAGUGGAGGGCAGGGUUUCUUAUAGAAUGGUGGGAGUGGUUUAUAAAUUGGAAUUGGAGGUGGAAGUGGCUUUACUAUUGGAGGAAUGUAAAUUGGUGGCUUUGGCUUGUAGAUUGGAAUUGGAGGUGGAAGUGGCUUUACUAUUGGAGGGAUGUAAAUUGGUGGCUUUGGCUUGUAGAUUGGAACUGGUGGUGGUAGUGGCUUUACUACCGGGGGUAUGUAAACCGGUGGCUUUGGCUUGUAGGUUGGAACUGGUGGUGGUAGUGGCUUUAUUAUCGGAGGUAUGUAAAUCGGUGGCUUUGGCUUUGGUUUGUAGAUAGGAACUGGUGGUGGAAGAGGCUUUACUACCGGAGGUUUGUAAACUGGUGGCUUUGGCUUUGGUUUGUAGAUUGGAACUGGUGGUGGAAGCGGCUUUACUGGAG
rnacentral:lncRNA from 1 species